AGCCCAUCCCCACAGCAACACACUGUUUCAACUACUGGCUCAGAUCCUCUGGCUGGUUUUAAUGAUAAGAUGACUAAAAUCAUGGAACGCUGAAUCCUCUAUAUGCGAGGCGGGGAAUAUGGCUAGUCUUUGUUUUUAUUCACCAGGAAUAAUUCAGUUAAAAGUGAGGACCGCUGCUGUAAGCCCUGCUAAGAGCAAAGAGCGUGAUACAGCUGAGAGCUGUCAGAUAUUUGCUGGUUUAUGUAUUUAAUGAAUGAGUGAAGAAAGAAGAAGCAAUAAACUAUAGAAGGCUGA
rnacentral:lncRNA from 1 species